UAAAGAGUUCUAUAACUCCCAAACCCAUGUGAACAUACCUAACGUUGCCUCGGCAGGUCGCACCUACCUUGUAGCACCCUACCCUGUAGGGCCUACCCGGGAGGUGCGGGUAAGCCUGCCGGCGGCCCACCAAACUCUGUUUGAUAUUGAAUUCUGAACCUAUAACUAAAUAAGUUAAAACUUUCAACAACGGAUCUCUUGGUUCUGGCAUCGAUGAAGAACGCAGCGAAAUGCGAUAAGUAAUGUGAAUUGCAGAAUUCAGUGAAUCAUCGAAUCUUUGAACGCAUAUUGCGCCCAUUAGUAUUCUAGUGGGCAGGACCGUUCGAGCGUCAUUUCAACCCUUAAGCCUUCGUUGCUUAGUGUUGGGAGCCUACGGCAACGUAGCUCCUCAAAGUUAGUGGCGGAGUUGGUUCACACUCUAGACGUAGUAAUUUUUUAUCUCGCCUAUUAGUUGGACUAAUCCCCUGCCGUAAAACCCCCAAUUUAUCAAGGUUGACCUCGAAUCGGUUCAGACAAACUCGCUAAAUUGAAGCAUCUUAGUCAGCGAAGGAAAAGAAACCAACAGGGAUUGCCCUAGUAACGGCGAGUGAAGCGGCAACAGCUCAAAUUUGAAAUCUGGCCCUCGGGUCCGAGUUGUAAUUUGUAGAGGAUGCUUUUGGCGCGGUGCCUUCCGAGUUCCCUGGAACGGGACGCCUUAGAGGGUGAGAGCCCCGUACGGUUGGACACCAAGCCUCUGUAAAGCUCCUUCGACGAGUCGAGUAGCUUGGGAAUGCUGCUCUAAAUGGGAGGUAAAUUUCUUCUAAAGCUAAAUAUUGGCC
rnacentral:rRNA from 1 species